GCCCCGGUAGCUUAGUCCGGUAGAGCGAUCGGCUGUUAACCGAUAGGCCGGCGGUUCAAAUCCGCCCUGGGGCG
rnacentral:tRNA from 1 species